rnacentral:rRNA from 1 species
GACGAACCGUACGAACGUUAUUCGGAAUCACUGGGCUUAAAGGGUGCGUAGGCGGCGCGGAAAGUUGGGUGUGAAAUCCCUCGGCUUAACCGAGGAAUUGCGCUCAAAACUUCCGUGCUCGAGGGAGACAGAGGUGAGCGGAACUUAGGGUGGAGCGGUGAAAUGCGUUGAUAUCCUAAGGAACACCGGUGGCGAAGGCGGCUCACUGGGUCUCUUCUGACGCUGAGGCACGAAAGCUAGGGGAGCGAACGGG